rnacentral:rRNA from 1 species
GACGAACGCUGGCGGCGUGCUUAACACAUGCAAGUCGAGCGAGUGGAUUCCCUUCGGGGAUGAAGCUAGCGGCGGACGGGUGAGUAACACGUGGGCAACCUGCCUUAUAGAGGGGGAUAGCCUUCCGAAAGGAAGAUUAAUACCGCAUAAUAUCAGAUUAUCGCAUGGUAGACUGAUCAAGGGAGCAAUCCGCUAUAAGAUGGGCCCGCGUCGCAUUAGCUAGUUGGUGAGGUAACGGCUCACCAAGGCGACGAUGCGUAGCCGACCUGAGAGGGUGAUCGGCCACAUUGGGACUGAGACACAGCCCAGACUCCUACGGGAGGCAGCGGUGGGGAAUAUUGCACAAUGGGGGAAACCCUGAUGCAGCAACGCCGCGUGAGUGAUGAAGGCCUUCGGGUUGUAAAGCUCUUUGAUCAGGGACGAUAAUGACGGUACCUGAAGAGCAAGCCACGGCUAACUACGUGCCAGCCGCCGCCGUAAUAC